AGCGAACGCUGGCGGCAGGCUUAACACAUGCAAGUCGAGCGGUCACUGCGGUGUCAUCGGCAGAUUGCUGAGUAACACGUGGGAACGUACCCUUCGGUUCGGAAUAACGCUGGGAAACUAGCGCUAAUAUCGGAUACGUCGUUUUUGGGGAAUGACUACUGCCGAAGGAUCAGCCCGGAUGUGGUUAGCCAGUAGGUGGGGUAAUGGCUCAUCGAGGCGACGAGCAGUAGCUGGUCUGAGAGGACGAUCAGCCACACUGGAACUGAGACACGGCCCAGACUCCGACGGGAGGCAGCAGUGGGGAAUAUUGCACAAUGGGCGCAAGCCUGAUGCAGCCAGGCCGCGUGUAUGAAGAAGGCCUUCGGGUUGUAAAGUACUUUCAGCGGGGAGGAAGGGAGUAAAGUUAAUACCUUUGCUCAUUGACGUUACCCGCAGAAGAAGCACCGGCUAACUCCGUG
rnacentral:rRNA from 1 species